rnacentral:rRNA from 1 species
UACGAAGGGGGCUAGCGUUGUUCGGAAUUAUUGGGCGUAAAGCGCACGUAGGCGGGUCGUUAAGUCAGGGGUGAAAUCCCGGAGCUCAACUCCGGAACUGCCUUUGAUACUGGCGAUCUAGAGGUCGAGAGAGGUGAGUGGAAUUCCGAGUGUAGAGGUGAAAUUCGUAGAUAUUCGGAAGAACACCAGUGGCGAAGGCGGCUCACUGGCUCGAUACUGACGCUGAGGUGCGAAAGCGUGGGGAGCAAACAGG